rnacentral:rRNA from 1 species
GAUGAACGCUGGCGGCGUGCCUAAUACAUGCAAGUCGAGCGAACGGACGAGAAGCUUGCUUCUCUGAUGUUAGCGGCGGACGGGUGAGUAACACGUGUAUAACCUACCUAUAAGACUGGGAUAACUUCGGGAAACCGGAGCUAAUACCGGAUAAUAUUUUGAACCGCAUGGUUCAAAAGUGAAAGACGGUCUUGCUGUCACUUAUAGAUGGAUCCGCGCUGCAUUAGCUAGUUGGUAAGGUAACGGCUUACCAAGGCAACGAUGCAUAGCCGACCGGAGAGGGUGAUCGGCCACACUGGAGCUUAGCCACGGUCCAGACUCCUACGGGAGGCAGCAGUAGGGAAUCUUCCGCAAUGGGCGAAAGCCUGACGGAGCAACGCCGCGUGAGUGAUGAAGGUCUUCGGAUCGUAAAGCUCUGUUAUUAGGGAAGAACAUAUGUGUAAGUAACUGUGCACAUCUUGACGGUACCUAAUCAGAAAGCCACGGCUAACUACGUG